rnacentral:lncRNA from 1 species
GUGUUCUUUAAACCGCACAUUUACGUCGAACACAUACUAUGAGAGUUAAAUCGCUGAAAUGAAAAAAUGCACAGAAUGUCUCAUCUUCAUUAAAAUAUAUCCCACGCUCUCAAAUUUUCGUAUUAAAUGUGAUUAAUUACGGUUGUAUUUCGACAUUUGGGGAGAAUGACUUGAACUGCAGUAUGACCCGGAAGUGUUUCUAACUCCGGAAACCAGCGAAGGGAUGCGACCGAACAGCUCAGUUCGUACAACUGCAAAGAAAGCUAAAACAAAUAUGGGUGAAAAACAGCCUUUUCCCAUGUAAAACCGUAAACAGCGCAGUACAAACUGGAAAUACGAACACUUCGCAUAGUCAAGAAAUAGCUAUCAUUAAAACAGCGUUGGUUAUCGCUCGGCGAAAUGGCCUGUCUGCUAGCUCGCCAGCCCAGCGGAAAUUGCGUUUUGUUAACGGCUUGAAAACAGUGCAGACGGCGAGACGGGGCCUUGCUUUGCAAACUACUUUCUUCUGGAUGCUGGACGGGUUGUCGCCUUCCCAGUUUUCUUCUUCCCUUUCAUCAUUCAGAAGCUGCAGUUUGGGAGCCCCUGUUUUGGACGUUCUCCCCAGGCGACUCCUCGCCCUUCCCCGUCCGGAUCUCCACAGAAGAAUUUGGUAACAGUCACUGGAAGGAGUUGCCUUGCCUCACUUCAGUUUCCAUCUCAUCCUCCACCUUCUAUAAGUAAAACACAACAACAAAGGUGACCUGACUGUUUAUUCUUCACCGGUAAAGAAAAUGGACAGCAUCGUUGAACUGGGCCAUGAUCAACCUGCUCUGCAUCUUGCAACUACCUAAACCAAAGAGUCUUGUUUUUGGUAACAGAGCAACAAGGCCAAUAAGAAAAGGCAAAAAAAGUGAAUGGUCUAAGUAGCAACUGAAUACACCUAAAUUUCCAAAGAGAAGAAACUAUCUGAAUAGUGGCUAAAACAGGUUCCAUCAUUUACAACAAGGAAAAACAUAAUAGUCAACAACUGAAAUUGUAUUGCAGAUUCAAAUGACAUUAAAGAACAGGUUACAUACGGUAACCAACAGGCCAGUAGGGUUUUGGGGUAUAUAGCAAAUGCAGAUAAAAUGUCUUCAAGUUCACUAAGACAAAUACUGACAAAGCUAAACAGCACUUAAUCAGCUUGGUUCUGAACAAAUCUUUGCUCUUCUUGGAUUUACACUGAUGAAGCAGUGAUACUAAGAAGUGUUAAGCAGCAGGAGCAUACUGCAAACCUGCUAUAUCAGUGAAAAGCAGUCUGAUUUUAAAAAAGACACCUAUGGUUC